GAAUGAGAUGAUGACUAUUGUUUUCCCUAUUGGUUUGAUUGCCGCGAUGAUGGCACAAUCAGUAUUAGCUCUAGCUGAUCGUUC
rnacentral:snoRNA from 1 species